rnacentral:rRNA from 1 species
CCCUUAGAUGUUCUGGGCCGCACGCGUGCUACACUGAGUGGAUCAGCGGGUCAGGUUGCGCGAAAGCGUUUCCUAAUCUUUAAAUCCGCUCGUGAUGGGGAUUGACGGUUGCAAUUUUCUGUCAUGAACGAGGAAUACCUUGUAAGCGCGGGUCAUCAUCCCGCGCUGAAUACGUCCCUGCCCUUUGUACACACCGCCCGUCGCUCCUACCGAUUGAGUGGUCCGGUGAGGCUUUGGGAUCUGAGCGGAAAGAGCGUUUCGCUGUUUCUGCUCGGAAAACUCAGUCGAACCUCAUCAUUUAGAGGAAGGAGAAGUCGUAACA